rnacentral:rRNA from 1 species
UACGUAGGGACCAAGCGUUGUCCGGAAUCAUUGGGCGUAAAGCGCGCGUAGGUGGCCAUUUAAGUCCGCUGUGAAAGUCAGAGGCUCAACCUUUGAAAGCCGGUGGAUACUGGAUGGCUAGAGUACGGAAGAGGCGAGUGGAAUUCCUGGUGUAGCGGUGAAAUGCGCAGAUAUCAGGAGGAACACCGAUGGCGAAGGCAGCUCGCUGGGACGGUACUGACGCUGAGACGCGAAAGCGUGGGGAGCAAACAGG